rnacentral:lncRNA from 1 species
UUUUUUUUUUUUUUUUUUGUCAUUUCUUUCUCACACAGACAAGCUUCGCACUCAAGGAGUACAGUCUUGGACUACUAGUGAGAGAUAGCACCCUAGUAUGACACAAGAUCUCUGGCUCUUUCUACAUGAGCAAGAUUAAGGACAAUUCCUACUAAUUUCAGCAUUAAGAAAGUGCUUCAUAACUAAACUCCAUUCAGAAGUAAGGGAAACUUCAAAGAAAUGCAGCCUUUCACAGCGUAUAGACAUUAGGAAGGAUAACAUUUUGAGACAACACAUGGAUUAUAGGGACAGAAAUAAAAUAAUAGAGGAAAGAAGGAAGGAAGAUAUGAGGGGAGGGAGAAGUUAUGCCAAGUUAUAACUUAGAAACACUUGCUUAAUAGUGGAGAGGUUAUACCGAGCGUAAGGUCCUUGAAAAUAAUCAGUUUAAGUAGUUGAUGGCAUUUGGGUUGAGGAAAAGACUGGGAGGUGAAAGCCAUGGUGAGUGCAGGAGAUAGUGUCUAGGGCAUAGAGUGAACAAAGUUGAAGACAUGGAGUAGAGAUGAAGUUGGAGAAUAGUUCUGGCAGUUUUACUGAAGUAUAAUUUGCAUACCAUAAAAUUCAUCCAGGUAAGUGUACACUUCAAUGAGCUUUGACACUUUUUCCCCCCAAAUUUCUUUUUCCCCCCAAAUUUCUUAAAGGCAAUUAGAAAGUCCAUCCUACAGCAAUGCACUUGUAAAAGUCAGCUUUAGAUUUUUUGCAGAUAAUCUUAAAUGCCUAGAUUCUCAUUACCUCUUACUAUUUAAUCAUGCUAUUUAUUUGUAUUAUUUACCUUUUUGCUGUUAAGUGAUGAGUUUGGCAAUUUCAUUGUUAUUUUUAUGGACUUGUGUUCAUUAAAUAAGUUGCUCUUUAGAUCUGAUCGGUUGUGGCAGUUAAUAUAAAAUCAUGACCAUGCUCUUGGAGUGGUUUGCAAAGAUUCUUAUACUCUCUAAAUAAUUAUAUCCAGAAAGGGUUUAUGAGAUGAAACAUUGGGGAGGGGCUGUUAAUGACAUUGCUGAAAUUUCUGGAAAAAACAUGAAUGCAGUAAUCUCCUCCUUAAAAUCUUGCUAAGUCUUAAUUGAGUUUUGUGGUAAUUACUGCAAACUCAAGGCCCAGCCCAAACUGAAAGGAAAACCAACACUACAAACAAUGGCUAUUCUGAUGUUAGUUAACCACACAUUUCAAUGCUUUUAAAGGUUUUUGGAACAGAUUUACUGGACUUUAAAUGAAAGUAAAAUACAAAAUAAAUAUAACAUGUAUUAAAUUGCUAUAUUUUACUACUUAAUUAUUUUAACUUCCAAAAGACAAGUUCACUUUUAACCAACAUUAUUUCAGUUGCUGCUGUAGAUUUAUCAUCUCAAAUGAUGAUACUCAAAUUAUGUAUAAGCAUUUCAAUUACAGAGACUACUUAACCAUGUAAUUUGACAGCCACAUCACACACUAUAUCUUUAGUUAAUCUGACACUGAGGAUCAAGGCAUCCUUAUUUAAAUUUCUAACUUCUGAACACUCAGGAUGGUAUGCACUUAUUUUUUUAGCUUUUCCCUU